rnacentral:lncRNA from 1 species
UGAAGCUAAAAAGCUUGGCCCUUAACAUGUUGUCAUAAAAGUGCCUGUGAAAUAGACAGGGAGAACAGGAACCAAAGAAGCUAUGGCUUUCAGUCUCAACAUGUCUUCUUAUUAAUGGUCCUAUUAAUUGCAAACGGGGAAAAGGUACCUUUACAGUGGACAAACAUGGAGGACACCACCUUAACCAAAUGAUUAAUCAAUACCAAAGUGAUGUUGUGUGCCUCCUGAUACAAUACACUGAUAAGGACACAACUGCACUUAUAAAGUUCUUCUAUCAAAAAUCCAUAACCUGAUUCUAAUCAAGAGAAAACUUCAGAAAACCCCAAACAAAAGUACUUGGUACAAAACAACUGUCCUGUAUUAUUCAAAACUGUCUAAUAGGACAUGGCAGUGAAAUGCAGUGGGUCCUGGACUGCGGGGGCUGGUGGUGAACUGAAGAGCUCCUCUUGCAGCCCAUUGUCACCUCGUCAGCUCCAUAGGCUGCAAAGUCCGGCCACGUCCUCGUGCCACAGCAACGCUCCCCGCCCCACCCCCGCCCCCUUCCCGGCCACUUUCUGCGCCUGCGUGCAUUUCAAGUUCUGGCGUGACAUCCGGGCACUACAUGACUGGAGCGUUUGGCUCGCGGAGAUGAACUUGGCGGUCUUCCUGUGCACGCGCAUAAAACCGUCCGCCUACUCAGAUGUGGCUGAGGGAGUGGACUGCUGCUGGUCAUCUCUAUCAGAGCUAUUCUACUCUUCAUACGUGAAGGAGUUUGGGUAUAAAAAGAACAAAAGGCAACAUUUGAAGAUAUCUCAGAAACCAUUCAAAAGGAAAAACCUUGAUGAUUAG